UUGUGACUAAAAUGGCAAGGGUUUUUUUCCUGACUAGAAGAACAAAUGGAAGGAAGAUGGCAGUUCUAUGAACACUGAAAGUUCUGAGUUGGGCUCUGUGUUUCAUACACCUAGAUUCAUUGCUAGCUUAGAUUUUCAAAACCUUCAGCACUUUUAUCUCUCUGCAUUCAGAUCUCUCUAUUAUCUGCACUGGACUCCCAAAUUACAUCCCUCUCUCACUCCCAAAGCUUAAGCACUGCUUUGUCUUCCCAGAUACUGUUUUCCAUGUUCUAAUUUGAUUAAGGGCUUGCCUGCACAGGAAAGUUGCACUAUUAAUUUGCAGUUUGCUUUAAAGAAAUUAUGUUAAACCUGGGCAAAAGGCCAUGUGGAUACCCUGGUAUUUCUUUGCAGGAAUACAGACAGUUUCUUUCAGGUUAGAUCAGGUCAAUUAGGAACAAGAAGAACUUGCAAAGCAAUAGAUUUUCCUGCACCAGAACAAAGAGAGUCCAGCAGCUUCUGCAGAUUAUGUCCUUCAAAUGUGAAUAAAGGCUGGCAGCAUGGUCUUGACCUCAGCAGGAGCCACAGUCUGAUGGACAGAGGUAAAAUACCACCAGUCAGUCUCACCAAAGCAGCAGCCAUUAAGUUCUGGGACAUGCUGUGGAGCAGGCUGUUUCACACUGCAGCAACUGCCUUUUUCCUACCCAAGCCAGGCUGGUGCACAGCACUCAUAGAGCAGGAGCAGGGACUGCUGCCUCUGUGCAAGUAUUGGCCUCCACUGCUUUACUACAGGUAUUAAAAUGUAGUCCUUUGCCAAAAACCUACAGUACCAUCUUGCUCAAUAGGAAAAAGCCAUGUGUAUCUGCCUACUGCCCCUCUUUCAACACUGCAUGAAUGCCUUGAGUUCACUGUGUUGGUUUACAAGCAGACCGUAAUUUUAUGAGUGUGCUUUUAACUUGUAGGCAAGCUCAAAGUAACAGAAGGUGAAGACAAAAGAAGAGAGAUUUAUAACAGCAAGAAGAAAUGAGAGAGACCCAUCAGUAAAUCUUGGAUGCUGCACAUUCUUACUGUGAACUGGUUUGAACUGAUUACAUGCCACAGUGGUAGGAGGAGUGAGAACUCCAUACCUAACUUGUGAUCUGGAACAUCUCUAGAGGCAAGAAGAUAAUACAGUAAUGAAAUUUAUCUAAGUGGUUCAGAUUUCCUCUUCAAUUAGUAGCCUCUAGGCUGUUUCAGCCUGCUGGGAGUCAUUUGUGCCAGAUGUGGUAGUGUUUUUGUGAUACAAACAAGACAUUGCAAUAGCAAUGAAUGGCGUUAACCAACUUAUUUCACAUAAAUCACCAGCCUUUUGGAGGCAGGGCAUCCAGGCAGAGUUCAUCUAAUCAGCUGUAGUUGGCUACAUGGAAGACUCUCCAGCCAAGCUAGUCACCUCAGCCCCCUAUUUAUGGCCACAGUGGAGAAAAAGGCACUCUAAGGUCAUGAAUCAUCUCAUCUCAAGGGCUGCAGAAGUGCAGUGGAGGAAACUCACCUGAUGAAUGAGGACAGCACUUUGCUUAAAUCCUCCAUAGGGCCUACCAGAAAGUGAGCUGCACUAAGGGGCUUUGAACUGGUACAGAAGACAAGAAAGGACAAAAUUCAACUCCAGCAACCAGGGAAUAAAGAGUUCAGGUAUUACAAAGUGAAGGUUCUGCAAAACCAGACCGAAAUGCAGAGUUAAAAGUCUCUGCCAGUUCUGGAACAGAAAUUUAGUCUGCUGCUACCACUAGGAAGCAAUAGAAUCUGGGGGAAAAUGGGAAGGGAUCAAGAAGUGGGGUGAGAGACAA